UACGAAGGGGGCUAGCGUUGUUCGGAUUUACUGGGCGUAAAGCGCACGUAGGCGGAUUGUUAAGUCGGGGGUGAAAUCCUGGAGCUCAACUCCAGAACUGCCUUCGAUACUGGCAAUCUCGAGUCCGGAAGAGGUAAGUGGAACUCCUAGUGUAGAGGUGGAAUUCGUAGAUAUUAGGAAGAACACCGGUGGCGAAGGCGGCCCACUGGCUCGAUACUGACGCUGAGGUGCGAAAGGCGUGGGGAGCAAACAGG
rnacentral:rRNA from 1 species